GUUAGGAAUAUUGGACAAUGGGCGAAAGCCUGAUCCAGCCAUGCCGCGUGAACGAUGAAGGCCUUCGGGUUGUAAAGUUCUUUAGCCGAUGAUUAUAAUGACUGUAGUCGGAAAAUAAGCCCCGGCUAACUUCGUGCCAGCAGCCGCGGUAAUACGAAGGGGGCGAGCGUUAUUCGGAAUCACUGGGCGUAAAGCGUGCGUAGGCGGUCUCGUAAGUUAGGAGUGAAAGCCCAGGGCUCAACCUUGGAAUUGCUCUUAAAGCUGCAAGGCUAGAAUCUCGGAGAAGAUAGCGGAAUUUCCAGUGUAGCAGUGAAAUGCGUAGAUAUUGGAAGGAACACCAGUGGCGUAAGCGGCUAUCUGGACGAGUAUUGACGCUGAGGCACGAAAGCGUGGGGAUCAAACAGGAUUAGAUACCCCAGUAGUCC
rnacentral:rRNA from 1 species